UAUAAAAGAACCUUUUGUUCAGACAACAUCUAUUUUGUUUUGUCUUGGAUUUUUCCAAAUUUAAAUUUUUGUGUAAGAUGUAAAACAUCAAAUUUUGUGAAAAUCCUAAUUCCAAUGAUGGAUAAAAUGAUCUUCAACACAAAUGGCUUGCUUGCACUCCGCGGACUUGACGAUACAAAAAGACCAUUUACAUCCAAUUUGUACACCGUUUGCACAAUUUGUCUGCACAACUUUAAAUAAGACCCAUUACAUACAACUUAUUCAUAUACCCAAAGUCCUGGUUGCCCAUACGUUGGAAUUAGGAAUCUGAAGACCUUUGCUUAUCAAGCAUAUUAAUACUACAUGGCUAUUACAAACUACACUUCAAGGUAAAUAAAUCGGCCGUCUCUCCCAGUGUAAUCAUCUCGCGGUCACAUCACUACGUAAAAUAUGUUACAGCUUAGCGAAAUGUCAAUUUAUUUCUAGUUUACAAAUGAUGUGUAUGUAUGCAGUAAUAGGUUAUAUUUUAUUGGGUUUCAACAACACAAAAUACAAACUUAUUUCUGUAAUAUACUUAAAAA